GCAAACUCCAACAAUAUAUUUGUUAGAUCUAAUGGAAUUAAUUUGAGUUUUAUUUUAGAUUUAGUAUUUAUUUAUAUCCUGCACCUAUAUAUAUUUGUUGUUUUGAAUUUGUUUGAAUAGGGCCCAUCAUAUUCCGGUACCAAGUAAUGAUCAGUGUCAUACUAAAAAGAUAAAUAAUCUAGUUGACUAGUUCACGUGGAUGAAUUCAGCAACUUGAAUCAGGUCCUUCUAUCUCUGAAGGUUGUUGAUAAGUUUAAUCCUGUGGACGUUCCCAGGACUGCUUGGCAGUAAAAAAAUCAACUAAUAAAUGAUUCUUGGUUGGUUUAAGGAUAAGGAGGGAUUGGUUGUCAGAAUAUUUUCGACAACUAUAACUGAUUUGCCAUAUUUUAGAUAAAGUGAAUCCUUACAUCUAUGAGCAACUCCAUUACUGGAGCUAGCUAUUUCGUUGAAUAGGAAUCCUUCUUAUAAUUGAUUUAGUUUCUAACUUGCAGCACAAAGUUUGAUUUAUAUUAC
rnacentral:lncRNA from 1 species